rnacentral:pre_miRNA from 2 species
UUCUGUGGAUGAGCAAAGAAAGUGGUUUCUUGAGAUGGAAUCUACUCCUGGUGAAGAUACUGUGAA